CCAACCAGAUCUUCCCCAAAUCGAACCCUAGUCCACAAUCCACAUAGCCUCCUGCUCCUCCGCCGCCCCCCUUCUCCUCUGCUGCCUCCGUCCGCCGACCUAGGCGACCCCAUCGCUGUCGAUGGCGCCCGGUGCGGCGAGGUCGACGCCGCCUCCCUCUCCCGCUCCAGACCCCACGGAGGGAAGGGAGCCUCCUUCAUCGUGCUGCGAGCGUGGCGACGACAAGCACUAGAGGGAGCCGUGCUUUUUGCCUCCUCUGCCGUCUCAGGGUCGUCGUGCCACCACCAGGCUGUGGCGCUCCUACUCUCCGCCGCCCUCUACGCUGACGAGCAAGGGCGGGAUCCCCAUCACGGCAUCCUCCACUCCGAUGGCAGGAGCGGUGCUCCUCACUGUGCUGGUACACCAUGCUGCUCAGAUCCGUCACGGUGGACUCGAUACAGGUGUGCAUUUCCUUACCAAAGGGCAAGAAGGAAGUAGAAUGAGGCGCACUCUUACGAAUCCUCUGUCCUAAGAAAGAACAUGGAAAGCGCACUCUUGGGAAAAAGAAGGAAACUACAAUCUAGCAAAUGAAUAAAGAAACAGAAGCUUGCUCACAAAAUUUCGCAUAAGUGGUAACAUUUCUCUUCACACGUAUAAUCUGAUUUUCAACACUUCAAUUAGAAACUGCAGGAUUGGAGAGGGGUGGAGAGCAUUGGCUAAUACAAGUGAUUUUUUUUUCAAGAAUACGCACAAGCAUGUGUAUUAUAUAUUAAUAGAAGAGAGGGGUGGAGAGCCCCAUCCACGUUUUUACAUCCAUGGCCUUAGGCUCAAGGUUCACCACACGGAUUACUCACAAACUACCCGCCCCGCCUAUACAACCUAGCGAACAGCCCCGAGACCUCUCCACGCAAGAGUCCUGCUACAUGCCAUGCUAAUACAAGUGAUUUAUUUGGGAAGAACACAAGUGACCUUUACCUUAGUUAUGCCAGCUCUAUUUUCUUUCAGAAAAUCCUUUUUAUGGAUUGAUGGUGGGACUUGGGAGCCACAUAUACAUGCGUGGAGGCUUCUCUUUGCAUAAUUUUGUUCUAGAUGCAUAUACUUUUUUCCUCUUAACUGGGGGCUGUUUCAAAAAGGAAGCACCUCAUGUGUAAAAAUUGGCUGACCUGCCUUUUAUUAUUUACCAUUUUCUAUACAGCCUGAAUGUACUGGAAGGAACAACAUUUGUGAGUUUAUAAUCAGCUGUAGUAAUCUUGUUAUA